CCCUUAGAUGUUCUGGGCUGCACGCGCGCUACACUGAAGGGAUCAGCGUGUUUUCCCUUCCCGAGAGGGACGGGUAACCCGCUGAACCCCCUUCGUGGUAGGGAUCGGAGCUUGCAAUUGUUCUCCGUGAACCAGGAAUUCCCAGUAAGCGCAAGUCAUAAGCUUGCGUUGAUUACGUCCCUGCCCUUUGUACACACCGCCCGUCGCUACUACCGAUUGAACGUUUUAGUGAGGUAUUUGGACUGGGCCUUGGGAGGUUUCGGCCUCCCUUGUUGCUCGGAAAGACUCCCAAACUUGAGCGUUUAGAGGAAGUAAAAGUCGUAACA
rnacentral:rRNA from 1 species